UACGAAGGUGGCAAGCGUUGUUCGGAUUUACUGGGCGUACAGGGAGCGUAGGCGGUUGGAUAAGCCCUCCGUGAAAUCUCCAGGCUUAACCUGGAAAGUGCAGAGGGGACUGUUCAGCUAGAGGAUGGGAGGGGAGCGCGGAAUUCCCGGUGUAGCGGUGAAAUGCGUAGAGAUCGGGAGGAAGGCCGGUGGCGAAGGCGGCGCUCUGGAACAUUUCUGACGCUGAGGCUCGAAAGCGUGGGGAGCAAACAGG
rnacentral:rRNA from 1 species